AGGGUAGCGAUCCAUCGGUGUGGUUCCCCGUUUUGGAAACGGGAUUAUUGCAGGUUCGAGUCCUGUCUACCCUA
rnacentral:tRNA from 1 species